UUUAGGUGAUCUGCUAGUUGAUGACCUGAGUAUGAUUCAGGUUAGGUUUUCGUUGCAAUAAUCGAAGGGUGUGGCGUGCGUUUGAUUCGUGUGAGUUUUUGUUCUAGAGUCCUGAACUAAGUUUGUGUAUCUGUCAGUUUAGCUGUGAUAUAUGUGAGUGGUAAAUUUAGAUAUGAUGAAUAUCGUGUCAGUGGUAAAUUUAGAUAUGAUGAAUGUCGUGUCAGUGGUAAAUUUAGAUAUGAUGAAUGUCGUGUCAGUGGUAAAUUUGGAUAUGAUGAAUAUCUGUGUAUUGGAUUCCUGCCUUCAUUCGGGGAUGGUUAACUUCGAUGAAUUGCCUUAACUCUAUUGGGAGGGGGGAGGCUAGUUCCAUUUGGAUUACUGUUCAAGUAAACAUUGCGUUGAUUUGACUCUUUCUCGGCCGUGCUUGGUGCUGCGGUAAUCGCUCUGCCGAAGACCAAAGACUUCCAACCUGUGCACGCAACAAUCUUUAGGUAAAAGGAGCCUAAUAUAUGGCCAAAUUGCAAGGUUCUUAUCCUGAAAUCAAGCAUAUCUGCAGGCCACUUUUGAUGUUGAACGCCAGAACCUUGCUGGAAUGGCAGGCACAUCGGCAGUAAUAGCUAUUAGCUUAUUUACCAGCCCAUCUUAACUUCGUUGACCUCUAGGUGCAUCUGCGUGGUCUGUCAAACCUACUUGCGUCUCCGGUUUGAACCAUUCUUCUCUGGAGUAGUUGGGUGUACUACGUCCUCUAGAAGCUUUCUGCAUGUUCUGACCGGCCUGCUGUUGACCGCUGAAGCUGUGGCUCGCCGUGGUAUACAAACCGAAGCUGGCUGUCUGGCUCUCAAGUUUUGACACCAAACCUGACGCAGCGUCAGAGACGGUGAACAAAGCCACCUUUUCCUCCACCCGUCAUCGAGCAAGCCUUUCCAUCUUGCGGCGGCAGCAGGGAGUCACUGCCGACCUCAGGUAGGAAUGUAGGAUCGUCGUCACACGGCGGUUUUACGUGUCGCUCGCUCGUUCUCGAGGACAGCAGAUGGAAGCUGCAACCGAUUCGGUUGAUGCCAUCGCUGUGGUGGUUCUGCUUUGUACUAUGGGUUGGGAGUUGGGACGAAAGCCAUCUUGUUUGGCUGCCGACCUCUUGUUAGGCCGGUUGGGUGCGCUGAGCUGGUGCCGAGCAAGAGACGUUGGAAAUUUCUCAUAUACGAAGUAAUAACAGCACGUUGGAUGCAGCGCUUAAGAAUCAUCAGGCCUGUCAUUUGCAAAUGCCUCGUCGGAUAUAGACGGCCGUGCUCGGCUUAAGCAUGUCGAGUGGCAAACAGAAUGACCUCGUUUACAGUUAAAAACGUAUCGGCACUGAUGUAAAGCACAGAGCAUGACAGCCCAUGGAUCCGCGAGAACAAUCUAGGUCAAAAGUUGACCAAAGUGCAAGUGCGUGUAAUACAAUAGUGCAAUCUCUAAAAUAGAACGAGC
rnacentral:lncRNA from 1 species